rnacentral:rRNA from 1 species
UGCGGAGGGGGCUAGCGUUGUUCGGAAUUACUGGGCGUAAAGCGUACGUAGGCGGCUUUGUAAGUUAGAGGUGAAAGCCCGGGGCUCAACUCCGGAAUUGCCUUUAAGACUGCAUCGCUUGAAUCAUGGAGAGGUGAGUGGAAUUCCGAGUGUAGAGGUGAAAUUCGUAGAUAUUCGGAAGAACACCAGUGGCGAAGGCGACUCACUGGACAUGUAUUGACGCUGAGGUACGAAAGCGUGGGGAGCAAACAGG